UACGUAGGGUGCGAGCGUUGUCCGGAAUUAUUGGGCGUAAAGGGCUCGUAGGCGGUUUGUCGCGUCGGGAGUGAAAUCCACUGGCUUAACUGGUGGCUUGCUUUCGAUACGGGCAGACUGGAGGUAUGCAGGGGGAGAACGGAAUUCCUGGUGUAGCGGUGAAAUGCGCAGAUAUCAGGAGGAACACCGGUGGCGAAGGCGGUUCUCUGGGCAUGUCCUGACGCUGAGGAGCGAAAGUGUGGGGGAGCGAACAGG
rnacentral:rRNA from 1 species